UUGAUUUUCAAGGAAUCAAGCCAUUAAAGGUGGUGAGCAUUCUGGCAAGAGUAAAGAGGUAGUAUCCGAGGAUCAAGAAUCAGAGUAUCCCGAAUUCGAUUCCCAUUACAAUUGGUCAAUGCAGUGGCGGGUUCUGUGGACCAACCUUUUUGAAGAGCACGGAAUCCGGGUAUAUUCUUACCUUGGUUGAGGAGGUGAGUAGGGUAACUCCUGAGGUAAAACUUUAGAGUUCACUUCACACCAAACCACCACUUGAGGGUGAAC